AACAAGUCCUGACUUCAGUGGAGUUGGGGGUCCGAGUCCCAGGUCUGUACGAUUGAUCCUAAUCAUUAAACUCCUAGGUGUUAAAUGCAAACAAUUGAUCGUAACAAAUGUUAUAUUCUUUGUAGCUCCUAAUGGGAGGGGAAGAGGACUCAUCAUAGAACCUGAAAAUCAAGGUGGCAACCAGGACACAAUCGGCGCAGCUGUCGGGGUGGUGGGAUGUGUGGUUUUGACAGUGUUGGUUGCAUUGUUUGUUGUGAACAGAAGAAGAACAAGAAGCCGGCUGCCGGAUGAGUCUUUUCACACCAUCAGUACCAACAAUGUUAUAAAUGCAGACGAUGUGAUCUACGCUGAAAUUAUUCUUCCCGUUGG
rnacentral:lncRNA from 1 species